AGAAUGGAAUGGAAAAUCUUGUGCACUGGGGACACACAUCGUGGAGGGACGAUCUUUGUGCUCAAGCAACAAGGAGAAUCCAUCUUCGCGGCCGAUAGAAAGACCAGGUUUCAUUUAGAAGAUAGCUGGCCAAGCAACAGACAGCUGAUUUCAACAUCUUCAGUGGCCAGACUUGAAGAUUACAUGUUAGGUUUGAUUUCAUAGCUUUAGACCUGGAAGGAAACUUAAAGAUCAUCUAGACCAAUUAUUUCACUUUAUAGAUGAAGAAAACUAAGUCUCGGAGAGAUUGACUCACUGAUCCAGAUCACACAGCUGGUAACCUCAGAGCCAGACCCUCUUGAUUCCUUUCCACUUCAUCACACCAUCUCUCUAGCAUUUAUAUGACUAAAUUCUAGUACAACUGAAAAUUGUCAGAGAUUGUUGAGUCAUUUCAGUCAUGUCUGACUCUUUGUGACCCCAUUUGGGAUUUUCUUGGCAAAGAUACUAGAAUGGUUUGCUAUUCCCUUCUCCAGCUCAUUUUACAGAUGAGGAAACUGAGGUAAACAAGGUAAUGUGACCUGCCCAGGGUCGCACAGUUAGGCAGUCUCUUGAGUCAGAGGAUUUGGGUUCAGAUCUAUGUUACUUACUUCUUUAAUCUCUCUGAGUCCUAGUUCCUUAUCUAUAUUAAACUAAAUGAUCUCUGAGGUCCUGAGACCUGGGAUCUUCCCCACAAAGCUCAUGCCUACCCUACUCCACGCUUCCUAGUUUUGUUAGCGAUGCCAUCAUUUUCUUAGUGUUCUUGAGUCCAAUUCUCCAUCAUCUAUUAUUCCUCCUCCUCUACUGUGAAAUGCCAGGGACUAGAAACACUGUGAGUCACCUCUAAAUGUUGUAGUAACAGUAAAAAUGAUUAUAGGAUUAAAUUAAAAGGUGAUUCAUCUAAUAUGAAAUUAGAGGGGGAACAAUUCUUGCGGGCCUUGGAUCAGUCUCCCUCCCUGCCUAGAAGGUCCACAGCCCCAUCACAGGAUUUCAGAGCUGGAGGAGAGAUCAGAGCUGGAGGAGAGAGAAUUGGAAAGCAACAAGUCUAACUCCCACAUUUUAUACAUGGAAAAACUGUGGCCCAUAAAGGGUAAAUAAGUUGCUCUUGUAAACUGGGACAUUGAACCUCCUUAUCACACCUGCUCAUUGAUCUAAGGUCACACAGAUAGUAACUAACUGCUGAAACUGA
rnacentral:lncRNA from 1 species